ACGUAACCAAGGGAGCCACCCAGCGCCCACAUGCGGACCUCUCCUACCCGACCGUGGGAAGUUGCCAAGGUCGUGAGCCUUUGGCCCUACACACCCGAGGGGCCACCAGCUGCCAGGACCGCGCUCACCGUGAGACACCGUCGUGGGGCCUCACAGGGACAUGGCGUCCCUCAGCUCGCUGGCCGGAGUCUGCUUUCCUCCGCUGCCCCCAAACCAUGCAGAGUGGGGAACAGGGCCCACGGGGGCCGCCCUGGUGGUGCCCAGACCACCCCCCAGGCAGGUGGGCCUGGAGGGCACUGAGCUGGCCGCCCACUUGCAUUUCCAGCAGCGUCCCCGCCACGCGGCCGUGGGAGGAUGCUGUCCGGCCCGUCUGCGCCCACACACCGCGGCCUGCAAGCGCAUGAGAGCACCCCAUCCCUGCACCGCCUGGGGGCCACAUGGCACCUCAGCGGCAGCCAGCCUACAGGACGACGUUCAGGACCCUAACCCUACUGCCCCUCUGCUUCUAGACCUGUGACCAGAAGCCUCGGGCCUGAAGGUGGGUGCCGAGUGUGACCCAUGAGGAAGUGGGCUCUGUUCCUCAAGAGCUACUCGAGUUUUCUACUUUAUACGCAGAAAUGUGUGGGGAUGGAUGUGGAGGCUGUGGGAGAAGAGCGGCAGGAAGCUAACGCUGGACCAGGCAGACCCAAGACAGCCGACGUGGGCUCAUCAAGCAGCCAUCCAUGUUCAGGUCGCAACCUGGGGUGAGGGUCAGCGUCAGGGUCAGGGUCGGGGUCAGGGUUAGGGUCAGCGUCGGGGUCAGGGUCUGGGUUAGGGUCAGGGUCAGGAUCAGGGUUGGGGUCAGCGUUGGGGUUGGGGUUGGGGUUGGGGUCAGGGUUAGGGUCAGCGUCGGGGUCAGGGUCUGAGAGGGUCAGGGUCUGCGUCGGCAUCGGCAUCAGCAUUGGCGUUGGCGUCAGGGUCAGGGUCAGGAUCGGGGUCAGGGUCGGGGUCAGGGUUAGGGUCAGGGUCAGGAUCGGGUCGGGGUCGGAGUCAGGGUCGGGGUCGGAUUCAGGGUCAGGGUCAGCGUCGGGGUCAGGGUCGGGGUCAGCGUCGGGGUCAGGGUUAAGGUCAGCAUCGGGGUCAGGGUCGGGGUCAGCUCUGAGAGCCUGGGUGGCUGAAACAUGGACUGGAAGGUGGCCCACAGUGAGCGGGUUAGAAAUGUCCAAUGUAGAAAAGGGAUUCAAAGGGUUGGGGAUAUGGAGGUGACUCUGCCAUUUAAGGCCGUUCACCUACAUGGAGAGGAUCCAACAGAGGCCCCUCCCACUGAGACAGUGGGGAUCCCGGCACCCCUGAAGAGCCCUGAGGCCCCUCCCUAGAAGGGACCAUGUAACUCAACUGGAAAACUGAAACUCAGUGGAGUGCUGAGGUCCCAGGGUGGCAGAGGCCCAGUGGGGGCACCCACCUGCAGAAAGGAGGGGGUGUGGUCGCACGGGUGGAUGCGGGCGGAGCCACGUCAGAAUCCUCUGACUCACAGGCCUGGGGGGCCCCGGGGUGGGUCGCUUGGCGGCGCCCUGCUGCUCGGGAACCCCAGGAAGCACGGGGACUCUCACUUGACCUGCACCCGCAGGGAUGUUCGAGGUCAAGGGAGGAAAAGUCUGGCCCGAAUCAUAGAAACGGGCUCACGGCCCCUCCACCGG
rnacentral:lncRNA from 1 species